rnacentral:rRNA from 1 species
CCUACGGGGGACUGCAGUGGGGAAUAUUGCGCAAUGGGCGAAAGCCUGACGCAGCGACGCCGCGUGAGGGAUGAAGGUCUUCGGAUCGUAAACCUCUGUCAGCAGGGAAGAACGGUCACUGUGCUAAUCAGCAGUGAAUUGACGGUACCUGCAAAGGAAGCACCGGCUAACUCCGUGCCAGCAGCUGCGGUAAUACGGAGGGUGCGAGCGUUAAUCGGAAUUACUGGGCGUAAAGCGCUCGUAGUCGGUAUGUCAAGUCAAGGGUGAAAUCCCCGGGCUCAACGUGGGAACUGCCUUUGAAACUGGCAAACGUGAGUGUGUGAGAGGAUAGUGGAAUUCCAGGUGUAGGAGUGAAAUCCGUAGAUAUCUGGAGGAACAUC